rnacentral:lncRNA from 1 species
AUGAAAACCCCCGAAGCUGAGUGCUGCUUCAGCCUUGCAUUUAACAUUUGUCAUUCGCCUUUGAUGAGAAGAAGGGGAGCUCUCAAUGUGGUGCCAACACAACAGCAAACAGCAGGAGAAGAGACUGAGACAAAUAUCUCUGAUGCAUUUCACCGGAUGGAUGAGGGCUGGAUUACACAGUGCUUGCUGAAGGAGGCGUUUUGGCCAGCACAUGUCACUAGAGGACAAGUUUGGGGUUUUGCUGAGCCCUGCAGGAAUGACCUGUUAGCUCCAGAGUAAGAGGCAGACCUGAACGUCUACGAGUGACAACUGGGAGUGAGUACAAAGAAGAAGGAGGACGAGUUGCAGCUCCAGGUGGGUUUCUGAGUACUCACAUGUGGUCUCCAAAAACAAUGGGCGGAUGCUUCCCAAAAUGUGUGAUUUCGUAAAAUACUGUGUAUAAAACCAGGGCUUUUGGUCUCCUUUGUAACCUUGUGUGAUGUUAUAAAGAGUUGCAGGUCGUGUGCUUGGAUGCUGGGAGAAGUCUCUGCUGAAAGUGGUUUCCAGGCAUCUUGCUGGCAAGAGACAAGUGGUAAUGAAGGACAUUAGGCUUGAGAACACCUCAGAUCGAUAUUGAAAAUAAGUGAAAGCCAUGUCUGCUCUUGAGCAACGGCAGCUGGGCAUCUCAGCAGGUGUCUCUCCUCACUGCAUGAUAGGGGGCUAGCCUGGCCCUCCUUCAUGAUGUGGAGCUGGUGUUAGCAGCCUCUGGGAGGCUUAUUGAUGCUUCAGAGCCACCAGCCCCUUGUGCAUGUGUACAGGAAGGCUCUGAAGCCAUGGUGGAUCCAGGUGGGUCCAGUUUAAUCUGAAUUUACAGCUCUUGGCAGAUUUGGGUGACGCAUAUCUCCUUAAUGCUUUACCCGUCAGCCUUAAAUUACAAGGAGAGCUGUGUAUCAUAUGCUUUGCCUAAACUGGGAAGUUGAUUUUCCCUUUCCAUGUUGGGGUGUUGUUUUAUGCAUGUCAGAAACAGACCCGUAGCCUUCAAGCCAUUUAACCAUAAAUCUGGUUUAAUUCUCCUAUGGACUUCUAUGCUUGCAGUGAGUCAAGGUCUUACAAAAUUUUGAUUUUCCUAAACUAAGCUUCAUGGAAAGUGAAACUUUUUUAAUGUCACAGAAAUGAAAUAACAAUUUUUAUCAUUCCAGGUGCAUCGCUACACUGAUUUCCAUUUUCUUUCAAUUUUCAAAUAUGUGAAGAAAGAACUGUAUUAACAGUUAGUACCGAGCGAGGUAGGAGGCUUUCACUAACCUUCAAGACUGCAUAUUGUAUAUUUUUUCUGACUUUUCUAUAAAUAAAAACAGCUAUUAAGAUGUAAUGCCUCUGGCU